rnacentral:rRNA from 1 species
AGACGACGCUGGCGGCGUGCCUAACACAUGCAAGUCGAACGGAGUAAAGACUUCGGUUUUACUUAGUGGCGAACGGGUGAGUAACGCGUGAGAAACCUGCCUUUCAGUGGGGGACAACAGUUGGAAACGACUGCUAAUACCGCAUAAUGUUAUUUGGGGGCAUCCCCGAAUAACCAAAGAUUUAUUGCUGAAAGAUGGUCUCGCGUCUGAUUAGCUAGUUGGUGAGGUAACGGCUCACCAAGGCGACGAUCGGUAGCCGGACUGAGAGGUUGAACGGCCACAUUGGGACUGAGACACGGCCCAGACUCCUACGGGAGGCAGCAGUGGGGAAUAUUGCACAAUGGGGGAAACCCUGAUGCAGCAACGCCGCGUGAAGGAAGACGGUCUUCGGAUUGUAAACUUUUGUUCUUAGUGAAGAAACAUGACGGUAGCUAAGGAGAAAGCCACGGCUAACUACGUG